AGUUUAUACCGUAGCUUGCUACACCAUAGACUGUGAGUUGCGAACGGGUGAGUAACGCGUAGGUAACCUGCCUAUUAGAGGGGGAUAACUAUUGGAAACGAUAGCUAAUACCGCAUAACAGUAUGUAACACAUGUUAGAUGCUUGAAAGAUGCAAUUGCAUCGCUAGUAGAUGGACCUGCGUUGUAUUAGCUAGUAGGUAGGGUAAUGGCCUACCUAGGCGACGAUACAUAGCCGACCUGAGAGGGUGAUCGGCCACACUGGGACUGAGACACGGCCCAGACUCCUACGGGAGGCAGCAGUAGGGAAUCUUCGGCAAUGGGGGGAACCCUGACCGAGCAACGCCGCGUGAGUGAAGAAGGUUUUCGGAUCGUAAAGCUCUGUUGUUAAGGAAGAACGAGUGUGAGAAUGGAAAGUUCAUACUGUGACGGUACUUAACCAGAAAGGGACGGCUAACUACGUGCCAGCAGCCGCGGUAAUACGUAGGUCCCGAGCGUUGUCCGGAUUUAUUGGGCGUAAAGCGAGCGCAGGCGGUUAGAAAAGUCUGAAGUGAAAGGCAGUGGCUCAACCAUUGUAGGCUUUGGAAACUGUUUAACUUGAGUGCAGAAGGGGAGAGUGGAAUUCCAUGUGUAGCGGUGAAAUGCGUAGAUAUAUGGAGGAACACCGGUGGCGAAAGCGGCUCUCUGGUCUGUAACUGACGCUGAAGCUCGAAAGCGUGGGGAGCGAACAGGAUUAGAUACCCUGGUAGUCCACGCCGUAAACGAUGAGUGCUAGGUGUUUGGUCCUUUCCGGGACUCAGUGCCGCAGCUAACGCAUUA
rnacentral:rRNA from 1 species